ACGAUGACCGUCAAAUAUAAGUUAAACUUCGUUGAUGGUCAUCGUACAUGUUUAACAAAAUGUUGUAUAUAUUCAAGAAAUAAAUCAGUAUUAACCGAGCUAUUUUCUGAGCAUUCUUAAGUUCCAACUGGAGCAUUAUCUGUGAGUAAUAAUUUAUUUUUUUUGCACUUAAAUAUCAUCAUGAGUGGUACAUAAUGACCAACAGAACUACAUGCACAUAAAAUUGUUUUUAUGACUCCUUUUUCCCUACUUGUCACUGAUGAAACACACCGUUUUCCUGUAGAUGAGGUAGCAUUUAAUAGCCCUAUGGACGCAUGAGAACUGUAAUAGAAUAUCACCGCACCUUAGAAUAUCACCGCACCAGUAGAAAUAAUGAAAACGAGGAUGCGUUUUGAAGUAGUAGAACUUAGUAGAGUACCGAGUACGUCCGAAUAAUACAAGAACGUUGAAAAAAUGCUGUUUUUUAACAAACAAUAUCUAGUUUUUUCUUGUUGUCCCUGGCCACUAGCAUUAUGUUUUGUUGCAUGUUAUCAGACUUGUAUGGUCACUACUUUUGAAGCCUUUCUGACUGAACAAUACCUAGCUGUUUGUCAUCAAUGCCAUCUAUAUCAUGAAAUGCUUGAAGAAAGUAGUUUUUCUUAAUAUGGUAAAAACCUUAGCAUUGAGCGAGCCAAGGCGAUUUACUUUAUUAAUUGAAUCGACAAAAGGCAUGCAAAUCACAAAAGAACAAAUAAUAUUUUACACAUUUAUUUUUAAUGUAUUUAUUAAUAACUAUUAUUUAAAUAUAAAUUGAUUUUGCAA